UAGGGAAUCUUCGGCAAUGGACGGAAGUCUGACCGAGCAACGCCGCGUGAGUGAAGAAGGUUUUCGGAUCGUAAAGCUCUGUUGUUAGAGAAGAACGUUGGUAGGAGUGGAAAAUCUACCAAGUGACGGUAACUAACCAGAACGGGACGGCUAACUACGUGCCAGCAGCCGCGGUAAUACGUAGGUCCCGAGCGUUGUCCGGAUUUAUUGGGCGUAAAGCGAGCGCAGGCGGUUCUUUAAGUCUGAAGUUAAAGGCAGUGGCUUAACCAUUGUACGCUUUGGAAACUGGAGGACUUGAGUGCAGAAGGGGAGAGUGGAAUUCCAUGUGUAGCGGUGAAAUGCGUAGAUAUAUGGAGGAACACCGGUGGCGAAAGCGGCUCUCUGGUCUGUAACUGACGCUGAGGCUCGAAAGCGUGGGGAGCAAACAGGAUUAGAUACCCUGGUAGUCCACGCCGUAAACGAUGAGUGCUAGGUGUUAGGCCCUUUCCGGGGCUUAGUGCCGCAGCUAACGCAUUAAGCACUCCGCCUGGGGAGUACGACCGCAAGGUUG
rnacentral:rRNA from 1 species